rnacentral:tRNA from 1 species
GGUCGACUGGCGUAGUGGUUAUCGCGUCUGUCUUACAUCUACGCUGUAUAGUGUAUUGUAAGGACACAGAAGGUCGCAGGUUCGAUCCCUGCGUCGAUCA